UAAAUAUUUACAAAUAUGCCAUAUAAAUAUAUAACAAUACACCAAGUUAAAAAAGAAUCAUCUUCAUCUCCUCUUACUCCCUGUACGCAAAAAGUAAUAGUUCAGAUCCAGUUCAGCAUAGGAGAGUCCAAAGACAUUAACAAAUUUAUCAAUAUGCAAAAUAUAAAAUUUCUCUAUUUAAAUUAGCACAUAUUGUGCUAAAUUAUUUA
rnacentral:misc_RNA from 1 species